rnacentral:rRNA from 1 species
AACGAACGCUGGCGGCAUGCCUAACACAUGCAAGUCGAACGAACCCUUCGGGGUUAGUGGCGCACGGGUGCGUAACGCGUGGGAACCUACCAUCAGGUUCGGAAUAACAGUUAGAAAUGACUGCUAAUACCGGAUAAUGUCUUCGGACCAAAGAUUUAUCGCCUUUUGAUGGGCCCGCGUAGGAUUAGGUAGUUGGUGGGGUAAAAGCCUACCAAGCCGACGAUCUUUAGCUGGUCUGAGAGGAUGAUCAGCCACACUGGGACUGAGACACGGCCCAGACUCCUACGGGAGGCAGCAGUGGGGAAUAUUGGACAAUGGGCGAAAGCCUGAUCCAGCAAUGCCGCGUGAGUGAUGAAGGCCUUAGGGUUGUAAAGCUCUUUUACCAGGGAUGAUAAUGACAGUACCUGGAGAAUAAGCUCCGGCUAACUCCGUG